rnacentral:rRNA from 1 species
CAUGGCUCAGGAUGAACGCUGGCGGCGUGCCUAAUACAUGCAAGUCGAGCGAAUGAUGAGGAGCUUGUUCUCUGAUUUAGCGUGGCGGACGGCAGGAACACGUAAGUAAUCUGCCCGUAAGACGGGGAUAACUCCGGGAAACCGGGGCUAAUACCGGAUAAUAAGAAGAAACGCAUGUUUCUUUUUUGAAAGUCGGUUUCCGCUGACACUUACAGAUGAGCCCGCGGCGCAGCUAGUUGGUGAGGUAACGGCUCACCAAGGCGACGAUGCGUAGCCGACCUGAGAGGGUGAUCGGCCACACUGGGACUGAGACACGGCCCAGACUCCUACGGGAGGCAGCAGUAGGGAAUCUUCGGCAAUGGGCGAAAGCCUGACCGAGCAACGCCGCGUGAGCGAUGAAGGCCUUCGGGUCGUAAAGCUCUGUUGUUAGAGAAGAACAAGUACGAGAGUAACUGCUCGUACCUUGACGGUACCUAACCAGAAAGCCACGGCUAACUACGUGCCAGCAGCCGCGGUAAUACGUAGGUGGCAAGCGUUAUCCGGAAUUAUUGGGCGUAAAGCGCGCGCAGGCGGUCUCUUAAGUCUGAUGUGAAAGCCCACGGCUCAACCGUGGAGGGUCAUUGGAAACUGGGAGACUUGAGUGCAGGAGAGAAAAGUGGAAUUCCACGUGAAGCGGUGAAAUGCGUAGAGAUGUGGAGGAACACCAGUGGCGAAGGCGGCUUUUUGGCCUGUAACUGACGCUGAGGCGCGAAAGCGUGGGGAGCAAACAGGAUUAGAUACCCUGGUAGUCCACGCCGUAAACGAUGAGUGCUAGGUGUUGGGGGGUUCCACCCUCAGUGCUGAAGUUAACACAUUAAGCACUCCGCCUGGGGAGUACGACCGCAAGGUUGAAACUCAAAGGAAUUGACGGGGGCCCGCACAAGCAGUGGAGCAUGUGGUUUAAUUCGAAGCAACGCGAAGAACCUUACCAGGUCUUGACAUCCUCUGACCACUCUAGAGAUAGAGCUUUCCCCUUCGGGGGACAGAGUGACAGGUGGUGCAUGGUUGUCGUCACCACGUGUCGUGAGAUGUUGGGUUAAGUCCCGCAACGAGCGCAACCCUUGACCUUAGUUGCCAGCAUUCAGUUGGGCACUCUAAGGUGACUGCCGGUGACAAACCGGAGGAAGGUGGGGAUGACGUCAAAUCAUCAUGCCCCUUAUGACCUGGGCUACACACGUGCUACAAUGGAUGGUACAAAG